rnacentral:rRNA from 1 species
GGGCCAGACUCCUACGGGAGGCAGCAGUGAGGAAUAUUGGUCAAUGGCCGAGAGGCUGAACCAGCCAAGUCGCGUGAGGGAAGACGGCCCUACGGGUUGUAAACCUCUUUUGUCGGGGAGCAAAGAGAGUCACGUGUGACUCAUUGAGAGUACCCGAAGAAAAAGCAUCGGCUAACUCCGUGCCAGCAGCCGCGGUAAUACGGAGGAUGCGAGCGUUAUCCGGAUUUAUUGGGUUUAAAGGGUGCGCAGGCGGCACGGCAAGCCGGCGGUCAAAUCGCGGGGCUCAACCCCGCCCAGCCGUCGGAACUGCCGGGCUAGAGUGGGCGAGAAGUGCGCGGAAUGCGUGGUGUAGCGGUGAAAUGCAUAGAUAUCACGCAGAACCCCGAUUGCGAAGGCAGCCUUCCGGCGCCCUACUGACGCUGAGGCACGAAAGUGCGGGGAUCGAACAGGAUUAGAUACCCCCGUAU